ACGGGUGAGUAAUAUAUCGGAACGUACCCUAGAGUGGGGGAUAACGCAGCGAAAGUUGCGCUAAUACCGCAUACGAUCUACGGAUGAAAGUGGGGGAUCGCAAGACCUCAUGCUCAUGGAGCGGCCGAUAUCUGAUUAGCUAGUUGGUAGGGUAAAAGCCUACCAAGGCUUCGAUCAGUAGCUGGUCUGAGAGGACGACCAGCCACACUGGAACUGAGACACGGUCCAGACUCCUACGGGAGGCAGCAGUGGGGAAUUUUGGACAAUGGGCGCAAGCCUGAUCCAGCAAUGCCGCGUGAGUGAAGAAGGCCUUCGGGUUGUAAAGCUCUUUUGUCAGGGAAGAAACGGUGGGCUCUAAUACAGAUCACUAAUGACGGUACCUGAAGAAUAAGCACCGGCUAACUACGUGCCAGCAGCCGCGGUAAUACGUAGGGUGCAAGCGUUAAUCGGAAUUACUGGGCGUAAAGCGUGCGCAGGCGGUUGUGCAAGACAGAUGUGAAAUCCCCGGGCUCAACCUGGGAAUUGCAUUCGUGACUGCACGGCUAGAGUGUGUCAGAGGGGGGUAGAAUUCCACGUGUAGC
rnacentral:rRNA from 1 species